rnacentral:lncRNA from 1 species
UUCAUUACGCUGUUAAAAUCCCAGCGCCUCUUAUCACCUGCCGCUUUGAAGACUCAGGGUUGCAUUAGUAGCGCUGCCCCGUCAGCUGCCAACUGCAUGAGCUGGAGGCAGCUAAGAAGUGAAUCCUUGAGCUGAGAAAUUCCACCUAGGGGAGGAGACGCAGCUUUGACUUGCAAACAUGGCCCAGGAACCCAGCAGAGCUAUCUGGAGAACCACCUGAAUCAUCGAUCCAUAAAACUAUCAUGAAAGUCAAUGUCUCCUCCAGCACAGAUCAGAGUCAGGCUUGGAGAAAAUGCUGUCGGUAAUGAUGACCUUGUUCCCCGAGUGUGGACGGGACUCGGGGAUCAGCUGUACCUGACGUGGAGGAAACGGUAUUCAGAAAAGCCAGGCUUCCAAUGGAGAAAGCAAAACGUUGGUUUGGGUUCUGAUUUUUUUCCUCAAUCAGACCCAGGAUUGUCUUCAACUGACUUCAUUUGCUAACCUGAGAAGAAAGAAAUCGUGGAUUCACAGCCAGGCACAGUCCGAAUGAGAUCCCCAACCAUCCAUAUCAGAGACCAUGGGUGAGCUGAAUCAUCUAAAAGACGGCUUCAAGUUGCUCUUUUAAAGUCAUUCUCGCUAUAUUUUUAGGCUUCUAAGACGAAUUUCUCUGUAUCUGCUGCUUAUUAAACAGCAUUUUGAAUUCAUGUUUGAAUUGCCUUUAGCCUUUCAAUAACAAAUCCACUGCAUUCGUUUGCUGUUUGCUUUCUCCUACGCUGUUCCAGAUCCCAAGCUCAAAAGCUGAAGUUAUGCUGCUACAACUACACAUAAUACUUGGUGGCUAAUGUUAUUAAAUUAUUGUAUGUAUAGAAUAGGCUUUCUAAACUUCGCAAAAGAAAGUCUUGUAUCAAAACACCUUAACAAGGCUUUUGUUUUCAUAUUUUAUUGUAGGACGCCACCAAUGAAAAGUCAUGCGAUCUCAAAAUUUAUUGGAUUUACUGAACUGUGUCUUCAAAGAAAAGGUUGUUCUAUGAAGGAAGAGAACUAACUUGCUCCUUCUUUUUUUUUUGAUCAGGAGAUUAUCUAGUUUGAAGUGAACUGUUAUCUCAAAAUAAAUGAGAAGCAGCAAUAGAAGCUAAGUGAAAA